AUGCCGCCGCCGCCACGACAGGACUUCCCGGCGUUCCCUUUCGCGCCGUACCCGAUCCAGACGGAGUUCUUGUCCUUCCUUUACAACGCCCUCUUCUCCGGGCCCCGCGCCCUCGCCCUCCUCGAAAACCCCAAGCUCUGCCGCCUUCCCCUCACCCCCUCACAAGCCACCGGCACCGAAAAGACCCCCAGCAUCAUCUGCAGUGCACUCCAGUGGCUCCUUAACCACCGCGACGCCGCCUCGCGGGGCCACUCUGAACGGGCCAAUGGCUCCGCCCCUGCCGCUGUCGGCGGCGAAGAAGAAGAGCCCGACUGGAUGCGGGAUUUCACGCUGCAGCCGCUGCCCCCUAAGGGCAUCUUCAAUGGUUGUAAGAUAGUUAAGUGGGAGACUCACCCGUACAGGAGUCAUGGAACGAAGAAAGUGGGGGGUUCGGAGAAAUCUGAGGGAAUUCGGGAGAAUGACAGCGAGGAGAAAUUUUUGCUUGACGAGUACGAGAGCGAUGACGGGGAGAGCACAGGAUGGCAGGCCGGGAAGCGGGCACAUUGUGGUGGUGCUAGUAGUAGUAGCGAGAGCGAGGCGACUCCCAAGGUGUAUUUCACUAGCCGUACGCAUUCGCAGCUCUCGCGGUUUGUCCGGGAGCUCAAAAGGACGAAUUUCUCAGGGAAGCUCAGGACAGUGUGCUUGGGGUCCAGAAAGAGCUUGUGUAUUAACAUGGAUGUUCAGAAGCUCGGGAGUGCAAACCGGAUCAACAAGAGGUGCUUGGAACUGCUAAAGAACAAGAAGAGCAACAAAAUUAAGUUCAGGAGUGAAGUGUCCGACCAUGGUGCAUUGGACAUUGAGGAUUUGGCACAACUUGGAAGGAAGAUUGGAACAUGUCCCUACGGUGCACGUGACAUGGUCCGCUCAGCUGACCUUGUAGUACUUUUUUAUCAGUCUUUGUUGCUGAAGUCUGCUAGAGAGUUACUUGGCCUUAAUAUGAAGAACAGUGUUGUCAUCAUAGAUGAGGCUCACAACUUAGCAGACUCCCUUACUAGCAUGUACAACUCAAAGGUCGAAUCUUCUCAGAAUGUUCUGGGAGCUGGAAAUCGGCGUUACAUCCAGACCUUGACAGUUCUAACACGGUCAUUCCUACGAUGUUUGAUAAGUAAUGAAGAUUGUUCCUCCGCUGUGACCUCUAUGACUAUAAAUAAGUUCUUAUUCUCCCUUGAUAUUGAUAACAUAAACAUAGUAAAACUUUGUCAGUAUCUGAAGGAAAGCAAUAUAGUCCACAAGAUCGAAGAUCUUGGACCUUUUCUUUGCAAUAUAGUGACAAUAGUACCAAAAGGAAUAGUAAUAUUUUCUCUUCCUAUGAAUAUGAAAAGCAAUGUUAACGGGGCACUUUUAUUGGCUGUUGUCGGUGGGAAGAUAUCUGAAGGUAUAAACUUCAGUGAUGGUAUGGGUCGUUGUGUUCUGAUGGUUGGAUUGCCGUAUCCAAGUCCAGAUGAUAUGGAACUGAUGGAGACAAUAAAACACAUCGGAAACUAUUCUACCUCAUCUCCUAGCUUUGAUGUACUAAGGAAGAGCGGUAAAAGUGGCCGAGAGUACUAUGAGAACUUAUGCAUGAAAGCUGUGAAUCAGUCUAUCGGUAGAGAAAUCAGGCAUGUAAAUGACUAUGUUGCAAUGCUGUUGGUUGACUCAUGUUAUGCAAACACCUCAUCAAGCAGGGGUUUCUCUUGCCCCGUUGAAAAGCUACCCCAGUGGAUAAGGACACGACUAACUUGCAGUCAAAACUAUGGGGAAGUUCAUAGAUUGUUGCUUCAGUUUUUCAAAAUCAACAAACAAAUACAUUGA
rnacentral:rRNA from 1 species